rnacentral:rRNA from 1 species
UACGGGGGGGGCAAGCGUUAUUCGGAAUUACUGGGCGUAAAGGGCUCGUAGGUGGCCAACUCAGUCGGACGUGAAAUCCCUCGGCUUAACCGGGGAACUGCGUCCGAUACUGGAUGGCUUGAGUGCAGGAGAGGAACGCGGAAUUCCAGGUGUAGCGGUGAAAUGCGUAGAUAUCUGGAGGAACACCGGUGGCGAAGGCGGCGUUCUGGACUGUAUCUGACACUGAGGAACGAAAGCCAGGGGAGCAAACGGG